rnacentral:rRNA from 1 species
GGCAGAGAUGCCUUGGUGCCUUCGGGAGCGCUGAGACAGGUGCUGCAUGGCUGUCGUCAGCUCGUGUUGUGAAAUGUUGGGUUAAGUCCCGCAACGAGCGCAACCCUUAUCCUUUGUUGCCAGCGAUUCGGUCGGGAACUCAAAGGAGACUGCCGGUGAUAAACCGGAGGAAGGUGGGGAUGACGUCAAGUCAUCAUGGCCCUUACGAGUAGGGCUACACACGUGCUACAAUGGCGCAUACAAAGAGAAGCGAUCUCGCGAGAGCAAGCGGACCUCAUAAAGUGCGUCGUAGUCCGGAUCGGAGUCUGCAACUCGACUCCGUGAAGUCGGAAUCGCUAGUAAUCGUGGAUCAGAAUGCCACGGUGAAUACGUUCCCGGGCCUUGUACACACCGCCCGUCACACCAUGGGAGUGGGUUGCAAAAGAAGUAGGUAGCUUAACCUCCGGGAGGGCGCUUACCACUUUGUGAUUCAUGACUGGGGUGAAGUCGUAACAAGGUAAGCGUAGUGCU